UUUCCAGUAGGUAUGUACUACCCUGGACUAAGGGCGCUUCUACCAAGAUUUGACGUAUAGGAGAGCGAUUUCGAUCUUUAACCGUUGACUAACGGUAUCCGAAAUAUAUUGUUUCGGGGGUGGGAGGGUAACAAAACAAAAGUAUUGAUGGAAACCCUUUCAGAACCCGUCACACACUGCCCCAAGCGCAAAGGUCAGAGACAAGUUAAGCCUGUGUCUUGUCGCAGUGUCCAAGUCGAAGGAGAAAGACUGGCAGCUUUAAGUUGUGUUUUGGGCCUCCGCCUGUAGCCCCAGGAGCUCCUGGCAGCCGUGCUGUGAAGCGUCGCUGCGAGACGGAAGCACGGCAGUAAUUUGACAGCUGCGUUUGGCAGCGAAGGGCAGGGUGGGGUGGAGAGAUGACUGACGGCUGCAGCUGCCAAUGAGCUGCGUCCUCUCCUGCCCCCAGAGUGACUGACACAUGAAGUGACAGGUGCAGAUGCAGCUAAUAUACCUGCUGCUCCUCAGGAGCGGGUGGGCAGCGGAAGUAACUGACAGAUGGAGCCAGCUGCUAAAUAGUUGAUCCUGAACCUGCUGUUCAGCUUCAGUCGUGAGAGUCCUGCAACCCUGAAGAGCGACAGAGGAGUGUGGGCCCAAAAGACAUCUCUCUGGCCACGAGUGAGUACCUCACCAGACCCGUGCUGUGGGCUGAAGAGUAGCCUUGUGUGGAAGAGGUCUUCACAGAAAAACCGUGCUCUUCACUGGAGACUGCAGCUCAAGGGCACACAGACAGGGUCCAGACCUGCACCAGAAAGUAAACACAUUAUAGCCCUGCUGGGAACUGGAAAGUAACGCUCUUGUUACAAACACAGA